GUACUUACCUGGCAGGGGAGAUACCAUGAUCACGACGGUGGUUUUCCCAGGGCGAGGCUUAUCCAUUGCACUCCGGAUGUGCUGACCCCUGCGAUUUCCCCAAAUGUGGGAAACUCGACUGCAUAAUUUGUGGUAGUGGGGGAAAAAAAAUAAAAAAAGAAAAGAAUAAUUGUUUCAUU
ensembl:snRNA U1 U1 spliceosomal RNA